rnacentral:rRNA from 1 species
AACGAACGCUGGCGGCAUGCCUAACACAUGCAAGUCGAACGAUGCCUUCGGGCAUAGUGGCGCACGGGUGCGUAACGCGUGGGAAUCUGCCUUUCGGUUCGGAAUAACUCAGGGAAACUUGAGCUAAUACCGGAUAACGUCGCAAGACCAAAGAUUUAUCACCGAAAGAUGAGCCCGCGUAGGAUUAGCUAGUUGGUGAGGUAAAGGCUCACCAAGGCGACGAUCCUUAGCUGGUCUGAGAGGAUGAUCAGCCACACUGGGACUGAGACACGGCCCAGACUCCUACGGGAAGCAGCAGUGGGGAAUAUUGGACAAUGGGUGAAAGCCUGAUCCAGCAAUGCCGCGUGAGUGAUGAAGGCCUUAGGGUUGUAAAGCUCUUUUACCCGGGAAGAUAAUGACGGUACCGGGAGAAUAAGCCCCGGCUAACUCCGUG